AUGUUGAACCUGUUUCAGCAAAGUGAGCUCUUUCUCCUUUGGGUGCAGGAUAAGGGAUUCCUCUUCCUUAGCCCAUGUCAUGCUGUCAUCACUGGUCUGGGCACAUGUCUGUUUUUCUGUAAAUUAAUUUUUCUUUCUUUAAUAUUUUUUUUCUUUUUUAAAAAUUUAUUUUCUUGGGGGAUACCUGGGUGGCUCAGUGGUUUGGCGCCUGCCUUUGGCCCAGGGCACGAUCUUGGAGUUCCGGGAUCCCACGUCGGGGUCCCGGCAUGGAGCUUGCUUCUCCCUCCUCUUGUGUCUUUGCCUCUCUCUCUCUCUCUCUCUCUCUCUAUAUAUAUAUAUAUAUAUAUAUAUAUAUAUAUAUAUACACAUAUAUAUAAUAAAAAUAAAUAAAUAAAUCUUUAAAAAAUUUUUCUUUUUAACUGAUGGUGUUUUGCUUCCACCAAAUCCCACAGUGUAGACUAUCUAGAGGUCAAAUUGGAUUGGACUGAAAACCAAAAGCUGCAUGGAGGUUUUAGUUGGACCCCAAGACUGCCUAAUCCAUGAAAUAUUUGAAACUCUCAGGAAGGAAAGAGUAAGUGACUUUGGUCAAGCACAAGCUUGACCAAUGUCAAGCAGGUGACCAACUUACUGAAGCUCACCUCCAGAUCCAGAUGCUCCUUUUACCUUCCCCACGUCUCCAGAAGCUGAUCUGCGCACAUUUGCUACUCGGCUGCCAAUCUUCCUCUCAGCCAAGCACAGCCGCCUCACGUUUCUCCCAUGACAAUCUUGGUUGAUGAACAAGGAGAUGAAUAGGAAAGGCAGGAAGCUGAUAUGCUACUUUAAAGGGAUAGCAUGUUUCUCCUCCCUGGCCUCCAACCUCUAAUGUCUGGUUCCCAGCAUGCUGCUGCUUUCUCAGCUCCCCAUCUCAGAAGGCAAAGAUGCCCUGACUCAGGGGACAAGGACCCUCCUGAUUGUGAAAGCCCAGGCAGUGUCUCCUGAGUCUGAGCUCUGGUUUGCUGGCCUCGGGGGCCCUUGUUAGGUUGAAGGAGUUGUGGUGUGAUGACUUCUCAAGGGAGCUGGUCCUGUGAUUGCUCUAAGCAGAGCAAGCCGACUGGGGAUGACACAUAGUAGGGCUGACCCCAGGGGAUAGGGGAGCCCUGAGGCUUCCUGUUUUGAUUAUGGUACUCAUCCUAAAACUUCAUAACCUCAGCACAACAUCUCAAAGGUGUGUAAGUAUUCCCAACUCUGGGUUAUCAAGGGUGAACAAAUAUUAUGUUGGUGAAUAUUUUUAUGUUUGGGGAAACAGGUGUGGACCUUGGUGUAUUCUAGAACUGGGGAGGUUGCAGUUUUCAAGGGAUUCAGUGAGGGUAGAUCAGUGGUGUGUGCUGUGUUCCAGUAUCUUGGCAGGCAU
rnacentral:lncRNA from 12 species